rnacentral:rRNA from 1 species
GACGAACGCUGGCGGCGUGCUUAACACAUGCAAGUCGAACGGUGAAGCGCCUUCCUUUUUGGGGGGUGUGGAUGAGUGGCGAACGGGUGAGUAACACGUGAGUAACCUGCCCCCUUCUUCUGGAUAACCGCAUGAAAGUGUGGCUAAUACGGGAUAUUCUGGGUCUGUCGCAUGAUGGGUCUGGGAAAGAUAUUGUUUCGGUGGGGGAUGGGCUCGCGGCCUAUCAGCUUGUUGGUGGGGUGAUGGCCUACCAAGGCGGUGACGGGUAGCCGGCCUGAGAGGGUGGACGGUCACACUGGGACUGAGACACGGCCCAGACUCCUACGGGAGGCAGCAGUGGGGAAUAUUGCACAAUGGGCGCAAGCCUGAUGCAGCGACGCCGCGUGAGGGAUGGAGGCCUUCGGGUUGUGAACCUCUUUCGCCAGUGAAGCAGGCCUGCCCCUGGUGGGUGGGUGGACGGAGCUGAUAA